GUUCAGAGAACUGAAAUCUCUCCGUGCGGAGACCUAAAUGCAGUUUUCUGAGAAGCUGUAUAACUGGCCGGGCUUGUUUAAAGUUAAGAGUUUAACUCUAUUGACUUUACUGCUUUGCUGUUCGGUUGUACUUGAGUGACUUCAUUAAAGAGGAGGGUAGUUACUUAAUCGCACAAUCCAACCUACCAGUGUCACUCGCAGUUUCCUGUUCUAUUCUUAUUCGGUGAGCUGAGAGUGAAUCCUUUUUCACGAGACCUUUUUUUCAAGAUCUCUUCGUGAUUUCAUUUGAACAAAAAUCUUCUCCUUACUCUGCGAGAUUUAUUUCUGAGCAUUUUCUUAAGAGAGCGUGUUGGAAAAUAGCACUUUGGGAUUUGCUUUAAACACGUGUCUAGUUUGGUUAAUGUCCUUUGAAACGCUACACGGCUGCAUGGGAGGACGCUGGCAUACAUUGUAAGGGAUAGCUGGCGUCUCCACACACCCCGCUUACCUUCAUUUAGCAUCUGUAAUACAGUAAUGCUUUAGGCCCUCUAUGAAUCCCUCAUAAAGCAGCCAUUGUGUACUCACAAUUCCUAAAGAGUUUAUCCUCUAAGAGCAGGAGACAAUUAGUGCCCAAGACAAGGGGCAGCCCAACAGGACAGCGAGAGGUUGAGGAGCUGUGGCCGCGGCCCAGCUGAGCAGAUGCUGCUGCCUCGCAGCGGGGACGGUGUUUGAGGAGGGCCUCGGAGGACAGCAGUGCAGGAUCUGUGCAGCCGCUGCUGGUUUCCCUUGGGCUGGGCAGUUCCCGUGUACCUUCAUAUUUAGCAAGUGAUGGAGUGCUGGUGCUGCCGUGACACAGGCACGGCCGCUGAGAACACAGACAUAUACACUUCUUCAGAAGUUCUCUGGAUGUUUCCAUUUGUCAGGUUUCAUAUUUUCUUCGGUGGCAGACCUGCCACAGUUAGCAGUGAAGAAAAGGCUAGUAGAAACUGGCAGAUAGAUGACCUUAACUGGGAUCAAUACAAAAAGCUUCAGGAGCUUAUGAAAUAAAACGCUUUGAAGUAAAAUGCAAAAUUGGAUUUCACAAGCCAUCAUUACUGUUUGUCACUUUGGGGAGGGGAGAGUGAGACCUAUAUGCUGUAUUUAAAGUGUUCACAUAGGAACAGAACAUGAAUGAGUUGAGUUCAGAGCAGACUUUAAAGAUAAUAUUGCCCGUGAGCAAAUUACUUCAAAGUUCUCUUGCUUACAGGGUGUGGGGGAAGUCUAAGUAAUAAACUGGUUGAUUUUGUGUGUCA
rnacentral:lncRNA from 1 species